AUGAAGCAAGAGGAGGAGGUGCCUGAGAAGCAAGAUGUUUUAGUUGAUCUCAGCUGUCAGUGCAGUGGGCCAGUGGGAGUGGAUUUGUACAGCAAAACAGUUGAUCCUCAAGACCUUACAUUCGUGGAAGUGUUUCUUCAGAAGGAGAAAUAGUCUACUGACUUGAGAGUGAGAAAAGAAGAGCUGGUUGAACAGUACUUACCCAGUGUUGUUUCCAAGUAGCUGGAACCAGAAACUGGAAUCAAAAAACACAUUGUCCACACCUGCUACACUGGGGACUGAAAUCUGUACAUCCAUACUGCUGCUGAGCAUGCAGAUGAAGAGAACAGCACAGCCUAGCAUAGGAAAGGUAGGUGGUAUCCUUGCACCCAUGGAAAAAGGUGGGGCUUAGGAUCCUGCAUAGCUUCUAAGUGCAUCUUGUGUGUUCAUCAGCACUAUAAAAUAUUUCUUGCAUUCUCUUCCAGUCAUAUGUUCUCAGUGUCUUCUAUCAACUCUUAGUGUCUCGAGGGAAGAAUAAGUUGAAACACGUGCAGUGCAGGGCGGGUUGUACAAUGCUGAUCCACAUUGAAGAGAUC
rnacentral:lncRNA from 1 species